GUAAUGAUGAUGGUUGGUUUAGUUUCUAGGUCUGGAAUUGAGAAGUUAGAAUGAAAUUGGUUAGUAAGAGUGUUUGCUUGUAAAUGAGAAGGUGAAUGGGCUAGUCUAAGUGGAGGAUACAUGCUUUAUUCAUCUAUGUGUUUGCAGAUUUUAAAUGGUUAGUGAUUUGUUUGAUCUCUCUGUUUCUCUUAUUUUGCUCAUCUUUUGAGUAAUCGUUAAUUCUUAUUUGAUUUUGGAUAUCAAAACUAUGUUUCUUGCAGCAAUUUUGUAUCACAGAUGGAUACUCAACAUUGUUGAAAGUUUUCAUCUCUUGUUCUUGAGGAGGAUGAAGAAGUAUGGAUUACAAAUUCUUUUGGUCAAGGCUAGUUUAAUUCCCAUUAAAUGAGAUUGGAAUUCUUAUCCCUUGAUACUUCAAGAAAAUAGAGACAAUGAUAACAUGAUGGAACUAUCAUAUUCGGCUAUCGCAAAGCUUGAUCAAGCAAAACAGAAUGAGAUCCAACCUUCUUCAUAAAAAUUAGAAGGUUAUUUACUUUACUUCGUCUUUGUUACUCUUGAUGGUUUUGGUUUUGGCAAUUUCAGUUCCAAACUAAUUCAGGCUAUCCACAAGCUUUCCUUUCGGCAUCAAGACUUCAAGGACUAUUGUUGCUUUGGAGAAGGCAGUGAAGUGAGAAUUGCUUGGAAUGAGACAACCUAAGUUCUUUGAAGGAGAGAAAGAGCAAGCUAAUGGGAAGGCAACGCACAUAGAGGGGAUGAGAUUGAAGUUGUCUUUAGAAUGUUAGCUUUAUUUUGUUUAAAACUUGGUAUGAUGUUAUGUUAAAAUGGAUAAUGUAAUAAUAUUGUUAUGUAUGUUGAUGAUUUAUGAAAUAUAAACAUUAUAUUAUAAAUCCAAUUAAA